AUUGAACGCUGGCGGCAGGCUUAACACAUGCAAGUCGAGCGGGGAAGGUUGCUUCGGUAACUGACCUAGCGGCGGACGGGUGAGUAAUGCUUAGGAAUCUGCCUAUUAGUGGGGGACAACAUCUCGAAAGGGAUGCUAAUACCGCAUACGUCCUACGGGAGAAAGCAGGGGACCUUCGGGCCUUGCGCUAAUAGAUGAGCCUAAGUCGGAUUAGCUAGUUGGUGGGGUAGAGGCCUACCAAGGCGACGAUCUGUAGCGGGUCUGAGAGGAUGAUCCGCCACACUGGGACUGAGACAAGGCCCAGACUCCUACGGGAGGCAGCAGUGGGGAAUAUCGGACAAUGGGCGAAAGCCUGAUCCAGCCAUGCCGCGUGUGUGAAGAAGGCCUUUUGGUUGUAAAGCACUUUAAGCGAGGAGGAGGCUACUUAGAUUAAUACUCUAGGAUAGUGGACGUUACUCGCAGAAUAAGCACCGGCUAACUCUGUGCCAGCCGCCGCAGUAAGAC
rnacentral:rRNA from 1 species